GCGAGUGAAGAGGGAAGAGCUCAAAUUUUAAAUCUGCCUUGUUUCAAGGUCGAGUUGUAAUUUGAAGAAGCGUUUUCUUGGGCUCGCGACCGGUAGAAGUUCUUUGGAACAGGACAUCAUAGAGGGUGACAAUCCCGUCUGCGACCGGUCGUGCGUUCAUCUACGAUACGCUUUCAAAGAGUCGAGUUGUUUGGGAUUGCAGCUCCAAAUGGGUGGUAAACAUCACCUAAGGCUAAAUAUUGGCGAGAGACCGAUAGCGGACAAGUACCGUGAGGGAAAGAUGAAAAGAACUUUGAAAAGAGAGUUAAACAGUACGUGAAAUUGUUGAAAGGGAAACGAUUGAAGUCAGUCGUGCUGGCGCGAAAUCAACCCUCUCGUCGAGAGGACACAUGGCGUGGCGAGCCUCAAAACCGUCACGAAGCGUGAACUCUUGGCGAAAAGGAGCACUUUCGUGUCCGCUGGUUAACAUCAAUUUCGAACGUCAUAAAAAGGCUGGAGGGAUGUGGCUCCUUCGGGAGUGUUAUAACCUUUAGCGGAAUGUGGUGGUCGGGAUUGAGGAUUGCAACGAAUACCUUUAGGCUGUUCCACCUGGCUUCUCUUUGGCAUCCUGGUGACGACAGCUUGCUGACGUUGUUAGGAAUCGCCUUUGAACAGGCUAGAGUGUGAGCAAAUUCGUUAAGGAUGU
rnacentral:rRNA from 1 species